CAGGAGCCCGCCCUUCUCCGUGAGCUGCUCGUCGCUGGCAGCAGGCGCUCGGGCUCGGGCGAGGCGUUGAGGGACGGAGCGGUGAACUGAGAAGUGGCGAGGGACCCGUCGUGUGGCGAGGGGGAGUGGGAGGCGGCAGAGCCGGUGGUGGUAUCUGUCUGUGAGGCAGUAGGGAGGUGUGGGGGUGGGAACUGGCUGGUGGCUGUGGGCUCGCAGGCUGUGCUUCUGUCGGGCCAGGUUUUGCUGAGGCAGGAGAAGGUUGUGCUCCCUUCCUGCUCGGGCCUGCACUUCUCAGGGCCCGGGCUAGGCAGCGUGCUGGUAGGGGUGUGCAGGCGUGUGGGGUUUGCAGGGCUUGGUGGUGUCUCCCACAAUGCCACAGUUAAGAUCUGGGAAGGUGGUUGGGGCUGAGACACUGCUUGCUCUCUGGGGUGUAGAGGUGGAAUGUGAGCUUGGGAAGCAGGUGGUAGUCGAGCUGAGUCCUCAGCUGGUACCAGAGAGGGAACCCGAGCAGCCCUCACCUUCAUAUUCACAACCUGCUGCACUCUCUGGAGGCUCCUCUGAGCAGCUUACUUUUCUUUUGUCUGUGCAGAAGGAGCAAGCCAAGAGUAGGCAGAGGCCAGGUGGUAAGAAAAACAAGGGGGUACAGAGAAGGAUGUCUUCUGAAAGGAAGAAUGGUUCUGCUCUGCAGGUAUCAGACAGUUCUGUGUGUGAAGGUGGGCAGGCAGCAGCCAUAGUGGCAGGAGUGUGUUUGGAAAAGACUGUAGGCAAAGAGACAGGACAAGGUCAGCAAUCGUUUUGCUUAGGAACUGACUUGCAGAAGAAAUUGUCAGGAGAGACUGGCAGCCCAGAAACACCAAACCUCUCUGGUUUCCAGGAGAAUACAAGAUGCUCUGGAAAAAAACGCAAGCAUUCCUAUAUGGAAUUGAAAUUGCAAAUCCCAGCCUUAGAGGAGGAUCUUGAGAGAACAGAGAGGCAUAGUGUUGUUUCCUGUUUGUCAGAACCUGAGGUGCUGCAGCCUAGAAUGGGCACGUGUAGCACUGAAAUGAAAGGCACUGCCUCCUUAAUGAUACUGAAUCUGCAAAUCCCAGGUCUUAAGAGUUUGGGGACUGAGGAGUCUUUCUUGUCUGAACCAAAACCUCAGGAAGUGGUGGAUAAUCCAGAGAUUAUAGAUGGGUGUUCCCUAGAAAGGCUGAAAAAGCCAAAGAAGGGAGGAAAGAGGUACUUGACAAAGAAGGGCAGGCAAUCUUUGGUGAAAUCAGAACUACAGGGGGCAAGAAGAUCUGCCCUGCUAGAGCUGUAUACACAGUGUGUGGAGUCCAAGGAAAAUGCUGCAGUUUUGACAGAGGAAGACUCAUUGCCGUUACUAUGUGUGCAGGGCUUAAGUGGCCAAGAACAAUCAGCAACUGAAGGGGAGCAGCACAAGUGUUGCAUCGUCGAACAUCAGCUGAGCUCAGACCUUCAGAAAGGAGCAGAUGGCGUGCAGGAAAGUGCAAAGAAAAAACAGAAAAAAAAUAAACAAAACUCAGGUAUACAAGCUGUGAAGAAGUGUAAAAAAAAUCUCAUGAGAUCAGAAAAUCCCUGUGGAAAGGAGUCUCACUUCUUGGAAUCUCCUGCAGUUGAUGCGUUAACUGGGACACAAAGCAAGAUUUUUGUAUGCCAUCCUGAAACUAAAAGAUCUGGUGUACAGCGUAAAAAAAGAAAACCCAGAACUGAUUCUAUCAAGUGCAUGCAGAAUUUUAGCCUAACUACAGCUGAAAAAGCAAUGAAUUCAGAACAUAAUGAUGCUGAGAAUAGUAGAGACAGCCUAAACAGCUGUGACGACUUGCUGGAUGUAACAAGGAAGAACCCAUUUGUAAGAUUGGAGGCCUGUAGUUUCAUCAAUACAUUUGUAAAAUCUUCAAUGAAUGGAGCUACGAGCACCUUUAAUGUAAGUGGAUUCUUCCAUAAAGCCCAGGAUGAGAGGAAUUCCAUUAGUCCUGGCGGUACUGUAGAAUGGAGUGAUAUGAAUUGCAGCCCUAAUAGAAUGCAAGAUGAGAGAUCACUCAUUAAAGAUAGUUUAGUGUUUAAUAAAGAAGGGCAUUUUUCAUGCAACCAGAGCAAAAACAGUAAGUUCUCAAGGGAAAAAAAGCGUAGUACUGUUAGAAGGAGUAGAAAAAAGAUGAAAAUCACUGAGAUGUCAGCCAUGCAGACUGUUUUGCCGGAUGUUACUAAUGAAUGCAGUAAGCGUGCGUUACCAGCAGAAGCAGCAGUUGCCUCUUCAGACUCUUCUGCAACCUUAGGGCUAAAUAAUCAAGAAGUAUCUCUGUCAAAUGUGUAUGAUUGUGCAUCUCAUCUACGUACAGAAAGCAAUACUUCUGAAGCGCAGAAGAGUAGAAAGAAUAGGAGAAAGAACAGUACUAAACUACUUGCAUUUGAAGAUGGCUGUAAGAAGACAUCUGAUCUGUCUGUAGUAGCAGAAAGAAAAGAUUCAAACACUGUGGCAUCACAGUGCCACCCUGUUACCUCAGGUAGCCUGAGAGCACUAACUCAUGCCCAUAAUGUUUCUUAUCAUCACAACAGCAUGACGGAUGAAAAAUUAAAUAAAGUUAGAAAGAAAUUGCAGCAGUUUACCUGUCAACGAGCAAUACCUAUGACUGGCAAGCAUGUUUGGCCUAUUGAAUCUUGUGCCAGGACUUCUGGAUGGAUCCCUAAAAGUUGUGGGUCUGUCUCAGAAGGAAAAAUAAUUUUAAGUCCAGUCUUUGCAGAGUCCUCUGAUGAAAGCAGUGUAAAAACCAUAGGAAACAGUGCUGUGACAGGGAGUUUGAGACAGUUGGUUUUGCAUACAUCAUUGGCAGAAGUUAACAAAGAACCUGAACAUAAAAUAAUGGAUUUAAAUGCUGGAUGUCUAACUUCAGUUGAAAUCUCAGAAUCCUCUUCUGUGGGUAUUAAUGAGACUUCUAGAAUGAGCAGUGAAAAUGCGGAA
rnacentral:lncRNA from 1 species